AAUCAUGCAAAGGAUUUAACGAGCAAUUUUGUAAAAUAAAUUUGUCAUUAUCUUUUACGGUUGCGAAGGAGUUGUGAGCACAAGGAAAACAGUGUUUGGGGAGAUAACUCCUACAAAGAAAAGUAUUCGGUUAAGCAGGGUAAAUUUCAAAAGCGCAUAAACUGUUCGAUAUCAUAUACCAAAUAUCAAAGCGACAUAUUGCGAAACAAAUGUUUAUCGCAAGAACAAAAUUAGGCGGAAG
rnacentral:lncRNA from 1 species